CUCUGUUUUGAAAACAACAACAAUAAUAAUAACUUUAUGAUGGAAUGUGCAUAUAAACUCAGCCAGAGGAGAUAGUGAAGAAAAUUUUCUGUCAGAUAAAAAAAAGUCAAUUAUUGUAACUUUGCUACAUACAAUUUAGUAAGUAUAAGAUUUUAUAUCAGUAUUUCUAUGAUACCAUAUGCAGUAGAGUUUCUCUAGACAUAUUUACAUUUUCAGUUUACAAUCAAAAUUUUAAUUUUUCAAAUUUUGAACAUUUUUAAAUCAAAGUGAGAGAGUACAUGUUUUAAAUUCAUUUUAUAGAGAUAGUAUUUAGUAGUACUAAAUGCCUAUCAUGAAGUUUGGAGAGUAAAGCAAGAGUCAUACCAACACAACUUGAACAGGUGAGAAUAAUGAUUUAGUGUAAAGUGGGAGCUACUUAGAAAGUACUAACAAAAUUAUUUCCCCAAGCAGUGUUGCUACUAAAGCCAUGAGACAUGAAAAGAAACAAGGAAGAUAUCACUGGUGUAUAAACUGUAGUCUCCAAAUACCCUGUGUGCUACUAGUAUUUUAUAUAUAGCCUUCUUUGUACUGAAGUUGGAGUCAUGUGACUACUACCAAUCAACAGGCUCUGAGCAAAAUAGACUAUUAUUUUGUAUACCCAAGAAUCUUGAAAUCCACUGGUGCAGAUAGAAUAGCUAUAAAACCAUACUAGAUAGUAGAGGAUAUCCCAAAGCUAUGUAUGGUAGAUCUCUAUUAUGUUAAAGCUGUGAGAUUAUGAGCUUAACUUAUUACUGAAUAUAACCUAUUCUGACUGGAACAAUCUGAAAAUAGGUUGGACUGACAAGAGGAGAAGAUAAAUAAGAUAAGUGGGUAAAGUCAUUUAAAAUUUACAGCAGAUCAUUAUGGAAGAGACCAUAAGGAAAGCAAAGGUCAUUUCUCAAGUUCUUUCAUUACAUUUUGCUUCAGUUAGAAAAUUUCCUUAUUAACAUUCAGUUGGACUUGAAUAUGUAGUUGAUGACAAAUAAUAAAAUAUAAAAAACUUAAUUUCUUAAUACAAUACUUAUGGGAAAGAUACUCUCACCAAAGUUAAUACCAAAACUCAUUUUUACUUUUACAAAUUGUAUCAAAUUAUAGUAAGAGACAUUACAAUACUAGAUUAAAUGUAAAUGAAGCAAAUCAUGCUGAAGCUUUGUGAUGCGUGGAAUGAGUUUGUUAUAAUGAUUCAUUUUUCCCAUACUUUACUAGGAAUAAUUAAAAGCCUGUUUGCUGAAUGUAAAGGGGGUAAACAAGCUUUUUCAUCCAAAGAGCUUCCUUGCUUAGAAACAUGUUUUUCACCUAAGACAGAUGCAGAUACAGCCAACCAUUGGACUGAGCCCGGGGAACCCAAUGGAAGAGUUAGGGGAAGGGCAGGAGGAGCUGAAGAGGAUUGCAACCCCAUAGGAAGAACAACAAUACCAACUAAGCAGACCUCUCAGAGCUCCCAGGGACUAAACCGUCAAUAAAGAGUAUACAUGGGCUUGCUACAUAUGUAGUAGAGGUCUGGGCAUCAGUGUGAGGGGAGGUGCUCAGUCCUGUGGAGGCUUGAUGCCCCAGCAAAGAGGCAUGCUAGAGGGGUGACGCAAGAGUAGGUGGGUGGGUGGAGGAACACAUUCUUAGAGGGAAAGGGGUGGGGCAUGGGUGAGGAGUUCGUGGAAGGGAGACCAGGAAAGAGAGUAACAUUUGAAAUGUAAACAAAUUGAUUAAUAAACAUGUUUUUCUUUAAAAUACUGUUGCAAACAUAACAGAUAACAGGUAAGUUUAUAGUCGACUUUUUUUGAAGACAGAUUUAAAGUCAAAAUAUGUCUUAUAUAAACAACAUAUAUGUUGUAACUGUAGAGUAGACCAAUGAUGUAACUAUAGAGUAGACCAAUCAGAAUAUAGGUUAGGUAUAUUAGAGAACCUAUACGAUUUAAUCUGUAUGUAAUUGGUGUAUAAGUUUGGGCUGCUAAAUCUCUAAGAACAAUGGCUCUCUGCAUUUCAGAGGUACACAAAACUGAGCUCAAACUACCAGCUGCUGACCACUGGUGGUAUUCCUAUCUUCAACAAAGAAAAAGGCAAGGACAUCUGUACAUGGACACCACUUGGGCUGCGUAAAAACAGUACAUCUUCCAAAUGGUGGCCUAUGCCUUACAAUUCUAUGCUUGCUUGCUUGUAGUCAAUGCUUAACUUGUCGGAAAUACUACAAGGUUCUUUUCUUAAAAUGUUAGUAUGGAGGUGUUUGCCUGCAUGUAUGCAUGUAUAGCACAUCCACACUCAGUACCAUGGGAACCCAGGUCACCGGCCCCAGCACUGUACUUACAGAGCUGGGUGCUGAGGGAAAAACCCGGGCCCUCUAUAAAAGCAGCAUGUGCUCUUAACCCACUGUGCCACCUCGUAAGUUCCAGCCUAAAUACUUGAACCUAGAGUCUAGAUUCUUGUCUUUGAAGUAUAGUUACUGAAAUAAGAACUUUCCAGAAUGACAUCUUAGAUUUCCAAGGCUUAAAGAGAGACAUGUUUAAUGUAAUCUUUCCUUUAACACAGGUUUUGUUAGUUCACCAUACAGCAAAUUGAUGACUAAUCAAGACACAAGGUCUAGUUGUAAGAAAUGAAUGUUAAAAAAAAAAAAAAAAGAAAGAUUGGUCCUAGAAAAAUAAACUGAUCAACCUUCUCAACUGGUAUUUGCUCACCUAGGACAACCUUUCUACCCUAGAAUUGGGUUCCUUUAGAUCAGAGGUUAGCAAACUUUAUCUCUGCAGACACAUAUAACAAAUGCUUUAGGUUUUGUGGUCAGAGGAUCUCUGUAACUAUUCAACUCUGCCUUUGAAAUAUGAGAGUGGCUAUAGGCCAUACACACCACGGGGUGGCUGUGUUCCAAUGUAACUAUUUUCAAGACAGGAACUAAAUCCCAUUUGGUUCAUGAGUCUGCUUGCCAACACCUGCUGAAGAUUAUUUUCUCAUAUGCACCUUCUGCUUUGCAAAGGAUUAUGCAGAGUUCCGUUAAUAACAUGCCUGUGCAAAUAGCAUGUCCACAUUUAACUGGGCUAUAGCUUCCUGGUGUAACUUCUUUAUCAACUCUAACUUACUGGAAAUAUUUCAUUUCCAAUUUACACAUGAUUCGACAGACAAAUGAUAAACAGCCUAAAGUAUGUGUCUAUGUAACAUUGCAUUCUGAGUAGGUUUUGUUUUAUCUUGAAACACUGCCUAUGUAACUCAGGCUGAUAUGUUGUCAGUUAUAAGUGGGUUUGAAAUUUGUCAAAUUACUUUUGAUGUUAAUUUAUUUAAAGUUUGAAUGUUAAUGAUGUGUGUGCUCAUGAUUAAAUUAUUAUGCCCAAUUCUAUGUGACAUUUGUUAUGAAUGCUCUGAUGGCUAGUGUGAAAGGAGCUGCGUUUCUCCUGCUUUCUUCUAUGUUUGUCCAGUGUCAGACUCACGCUAAUGCUGGCCUCAGAGUAAACUAGCAAGAAUUUUUUCUCUUUUACUCUAUCAAAGAGUUUUUAAUAUAAUUGGAAUUAUUUACACACGUUUCAAAAAUAAUCAGUGAAAAUAGCUAGGCUGGAAAUUACAUCUGGAAAGAUUAUCAAUUUAAUGUUUCUAAAUGAUAUAACAUCUAUCAUGUCUUUUAUUUCUUUAGCAAUAUUUGAUAAAUUUUGUUAUAAAUCAUAAGACUAUUUGGUUCAAAUAUUUUCAUUGAUAAGCACAUAAUCACUCAUAAUAUUCCAUUAUUGUUUUAGUAAUAUGACAUCUUUAGUUCUAUUUUUGGUCAUUUUCUUCUAAUCAUCCUAGAUAUGUUUAUCAACUCUGUCAGAACAAAGACUUGUGGCUUGUUAUUCCUUGAUUUCUACGGUUUUCUCCCUUUUUAUUUCAUAUUUUAUUUGCUACAGGUCUUAGUGAACACAGACCAAAGAUUUUAUACCAUUCUUUCCUACAUAUACAUUCAGAGCCAAACAAAUUCCUAUCAGCAUCACUUCAGUAAUUUACUAAAUGGAAUUAAAAUAACAGCAUAAAUAUACAAGGUUUGAUGUCCUUACAAAAGAGGCUGUGGACUUGUUGACUCCCAGGACCAUGUGAGAAACUAGAUAGAAGAUAAUGUCAAGUUUGAAGACAUUUCCAAGAAUUGAAUCUGCAAGUUCGCCCUGAAAACGCCCUACCUUCCAGAACUACAAAUCAUGUUUCUAUGAUUCAUAAUUUCCUGGUCUGUUUUCUUGAACCAGUCUGAACAAUAAGUAUCCUUGUCUUGUUUCUUAUCUUAAAAGGAAGGCUUUCAAGUUUGCUAUUACUAAGAGAUUAUCUGGGAAUCUUUUAAGGUACAUUCCUUUUAUAACUGUUGGUAAUUUCAACAACAAAAAAAAGGAUAUUGAUUUUUUCCUUGUAUUGAUGAUCAUGUAAAGAACAGGUUAGACUUCACCACAGAGAUCCACCUGCCUUGCCUCUCAAGUGCUCAGAUUAAAGGUGUACUCCACCAUCACCUGGUUGGUUCUUGCUUUUUGAUAAGAUAUUUGUUGUCAUCUCCUUGCUCAACAUUGGCAGGUUUAAUUUUUAACUAUUUUAUUAUCUUGGUAUUGUGUGUAUAUAUUAUAUUUUUCUAGGUUAUCAAGUUUGUUGGAGUACAAAUAUUCCUAAUAGAACACUAUAAUCUAUAUUUGUUUGGCCACUUCUAUUUUCUUACUUCCGAUAAGUCUAUGAUUCUUAGUCUAAUUGAAGAUUUGUUUAUCUUGGCAAAAAUUUGGUCUCAUUGAUAUUUUCAGUAGCUUUCUUGUUCUCUACUGAAUUCUUUUCUAUGCCAAUCUUUCUUUACACUUAGGACUUCAUUCUUUUCUAUUUUCCUUACUCGUAACACUAUUUCACAUAGUUCUUAUUAUGUAGGUUUUCCUAUACACUUCCUUAUUAAUAACAGCUUUUGCUACAUUGUGUUUUGAUAAUGUUGUUUUCCACUUGAACUUCUCUUGAGAUUAUUUUAUACUUUCUCUUUAUUCAUUGAUCCAUUGGCUUUUCUGAAAAACUCUUUAAUUUCUAUUUGUUAAUUUUCCCAAACUUUUUACUCAUUUUUAGUUUCAUUUUUAAAUGUAAAAGUUUCCUGAUGCAAAUUUGUUGUUUGGUUGGUUUUUAUUAUUCUUUUGUACUACAAAAGUGUGACUUCGGGCAUAUGCAUGCCAUGUACAGAAGUGGAGACCCAAGACAAUGUGCAGAAGGCAGGAAUCUGUUCUCUUCCUCACUGUGAGUUCGAGAGACUGAACUCAUGUGAGGCUUGCAUGGCAAGCACUCUUACCCAGUAAAGCCAUCUCACUGGCCCUACAGAUAUAAUUUCAAUCUUUAAUUUGUUAAGAUUUAUUCUGUGUCCUACCUAUAAUGUGUUCUAACAAAUGUUAUAUGAGUACCUCAAAAUAAUCUAUAUUCUACUGCUAUUGGAUAGAUGCCCUAUAUGUUAGGCCCAUUUGAUCCAAAGAGUAGCCCAAGUCCAGUGUUGGGUUUUAGAUAGCCUAUUGAGUGGUUUACCUAUUGCUGAAUGUGACUUACGAAAACCUAUUUGUUACUGAGUUAGUAUGUCUUGUCAGAUAUAUUCAAAUCUGUUUCAUAAGCACAGGUAUGGAAGUGCACACCAGCAAUCCCAGCACUUAGGAGAUAAAUGCAGGGGGAUACUGAAUAUGAUGUCAGCUGUACACUAAGUUCCACACCAGCUUGGGCUACAUAGGGAGCUCCAGUCUCAUUUUUUCUCCUUCUAAAUUACUUACCACAAUGUUGGGUAUAUGUAUAUUUAUAAUCUUAGAUCUCUUGAUAAACUAUUUACCAAUUAUAAUAACCUACUUUGUUUUACAGUGUUUCAUUUAUCUGGAUUUUCCUGCUCUAAGUAUACCUAACUCCUGUUCUCUUUUUGUUUCUAUAUGCAUGGAAUAUCUUUUUAUUUUUAAUUCCCUGUACUUUGUCUCCUGUUAAAGCAGAAAUAUCCUACUGGAGAACAUAUAAUUGGGCCUUUGUUUUUCCCCAAUCCACUCAGCAAUUCUUAAGAAUUUUAUCUUUUCAUUCAAGAUACUGAAUUAACUAUUAAUAGGUACAGAUUUCUUAGUGCUACUUUUAUUAUUGCUAUUUUUAAAAUGUAGUCUAUUUGUUCCUUCUUCAAGACCUAGUGAUUUUGUUAUGCUUUGAUUACUUACUCCUUUCUGCAGUUAACAUGAUAUUAUAUAUUGGUAUAAUAAAUAAUAUGUGGUAACUAUGAGACAUGAAAACAAUUCAGCUAUGAGUCUACUUUAAACUGGCAGCAAAUAUACUGUAGUGAAGUAGCUGACACUUGGUACCCUGUAAAGAAAAGAGAUCUAUUUAGCUGAUGGUUUGGAUGAAAGUCAAAGACUGACAGCCCAGUCAGUGCAACCCCUUUCUGUCUGCCUUCUGGUGAAGAAUUCCUGGCUAUAUUAUGCCAAAUGGCAUCAUUAUGGAAGUGAUGAAGUCAGGUAUCAUUUGGUGAGAUUCAAAGCCAGAGAAAAAAAUGGGGGGCCACUCUUACCAUUUUACAGCAACCUACAUAAGAACCACCUUAGGGCAUCAUCACAGUGGCCUCCUUGUAAGAUCCCUCUCAAAGCUCGCACAUUCUCUCAGCUGCUACACUCGGAACACACAUUCUUUGGGGAACAUAGUCAAAUUCUACCUAACCCAUAGAAAUAACCUCAAAUUGCAUACAAAAACUCUCUACUUUCACUCCUCUCCCAUUUCAUGACUUGCUAUCACUAUUACACUUUUUCAUUCGGUAACCACUAAAAACUCAUAUUAAAAUCACUUCUUUUAGCCUUCACAGUAAAGACUUAAGUUAUUUAUACAUCACUAUUACAGAGCACUCAAGUCUAUCAGUCUUCUGACUUGACUACUUACCUAUACCACCAACUUUAUUUUCAUGUUUGGUUAUUAACUUUCAGCUUGAAAAUUCCAUUUGUGAUUAUAUAUGUGUGUGUGUGUGCGCGCUACAUAUGUCUAUAUAUACAUAUAUGUGUAUAUAUACAUUAUGUGUGUAUAUAUACAUAUACAUAUGUGUGUGUGUAUAUAUAUAUGUAUGUAUGUAUGCAUAUAUAUUGAAGGAUAGCUUUGCUGGGGUAUUCUUGGCUACAAGCUUAUUUUUCUUCGAACACUUUGUCAUUUCAUACUUUUCUGACCUUGAAAGCUUUCCGGGCUCUGAUGACAGCCACUCUCUUCUAUAUGCACUCUCUUCUUUUGCCACACUCAAGCCCCUGCCAGUGAUUCACUGCUUUUCAUUUAGUAUGUAUGUAUCAUGGGUGGGUGUUCACAUGCCACAAGACAAGUGUGGUGGUCAGAAUGCUGACUGUUGGAGUCCGCUCGCUCGCUCACUCGCUCGCUCUCUUUCUCUCACAAAGACUCCAGGAAUCACUGAGGUCCUUCUUCCCUGCAAAGCCAUCUCACUAGCCUGCCGGUAGUGUCUGAGCUUGUCUUUGUGUAGUGCUUUUACAAUUGGAAACUCUUGAUUCUCCUGUACUUGAUAGACGCUUUCUAAGAUACAAUUAGUUUUCAGUCAUUAUUUCCUUAAAAACUUUCCCCACCUCUUCUGUAAUUACUGACUACAGACUAGCACUACUGGGAAAACCCAUUACGUUUUCUAGGUUUUCUUCUUUAAAGUUUCUUCUCUAACUGGAUUUUUCCAAGUCACCUUUCAUUUCAAGAUCUCUUCUGUUUGAGCACAUCACCUGAUGCCCUCUGGUGCACUUUUCAUUCCUUUCACUGUAUUGCUCAGUUCAUUAUUUCAGUCUCUCUCUUAUCACUCUCCUGAUUUUAUUGUCCAUACUCUCUCAUAGUUUGCUAAGGUUCCCUAAAACGAUUCUUUCCCAGGCACUUAAUCCAUAGAAAUUCUUAUUCUUUGAGGUCAGUUACUGGAAAACUAUUUUGCCUCCCUCUUUGAUAAUGUGUGUGUUUAUUUCUAUUUCUACAAUUGUUUUCAUGCUUCUUGUUUUGCAUAACAUAUUCAGUGGCUGUGUUCUCCUCUUUAGGAAUCGGUAUCAGUGGGGACAACACUGUCUGCCAGCAAGGCUAAGUGCACUGCUGAGACAUUCAGCUGUGUUGCCUGAGGCAGAUUGGCAGAGUACACAGCUUCUCAACAUCUCAGGUUAGGUGUCCCUGAAGUAGCAAGAGCUGCUGUGCUCUUCAAUAGGAUGACUGACAGGGGGUCUUUAUGGUCUCUCAUCUACAUGAAAGUCCUAGUUGAACUCUUGCUUGGAACUGGAUCUGGCACACAGAUGCCCUUUCAGGAAUGGUGUCAGGAUGUGUGAAGCAUGACAUGUGCAAAGUAGCCACAGAUCGGAUACAUGAGCAUGGCCAUGUGUUGGAGUAAUGGUUUAAGGGAAACAGGAUAGCAACAACUAUCUCCCAUGAUUAUUGACAGAACUAAAAUAACCAGCAAAAUGGCAGCCUGGAAGAUAAAUUGUGCUUAGUGACUAUCCUAGUUCCCACAUCCAAGCAAAUUUCAGUUAUAGUGACAUCAUAACACCAAGAGACUGGAAUGCUUGCUUUGUUUCACAUUUUACUCAUUAUAAAAACAAAUGUACUAGUUCUAUAUUAAGUAAUAAAAACAACUUUGUUUCUAAUUCUAUAAUAAUGAUCCAUUUUGGGAAAUUUAAAAAAAACAGCAGACUAUUUUCAACUUAAUGUCACAGUUAUAUUCAGGCAAGUGUAUCAAUUAACGAACAUUAUUAGACCCCAAGAAAUUUCAAACUAUGUUCCAUGUGACUAUUAAAUUGAAAACUCAGUUCUUCUUAGCAGUUCAUCAGGUCCUGCAGAUGAAAUAAAUGUUUUCUAUUUAUUUUGUUACAGUUCCAGGUAGAAUAGAGACUAUGCAUUGAAACACAAAACCCAAGUGGGUCAGAGGCACAAGCAAGACCAUAAAGAGUUCAAGAGCACCCUUGGGCCCACAGUGAGUCUAAGUCCGGCCUGGGCUAUCUAAAAGCAAUCUCUACCUUCUAUCAAGCAGCAUAACCUGUACUACCAAAUCCACAAAGCCAGUGAGGAGAUCCCAUGUGAUUUCCUAAGGGUCCAGGCUUAUUUGCAUAGCAUUUACAUUGUUUUAAGUAUAAUCCUAGAUGGUCUAAGUACACGAGAAUAGUGUCAUAGGUUCACGUACUAUGCAAUCUUAUAAAACAGAAUCAAACAAACCUUGUGAAAUGAAGUAUGUACAGAAGAUCCUGAGGCUAACGCUUGGCAUAUCUGAAAAGUCACACAUAAGACUUAAGAAAUAAAACAUUUUAAGGUAC